rfam:Solanum tuberosum cultivar DM 1-3 516 R44 scf00505_4, whole genome shotgun sequence.
GUUCCUUCGGAGACAUUUGAUAAAAUUGGAACGAUACAGAAAAGAUUAACAUGGCCCUACGCAAGGAUAACACGCAUAAAUAGAAUUUGUAAAGUUGAU